GCGGGAAUUAGAAAAUUAGGUACGUAGUCUAUGGUGUGACUACUCUGUGGUUGCAACGUCACGCGGACGCCCAAUGAGAGCGCGUGAACGACCACUCCUCCCGACCGCCGCAACCUCGCGCGCCAGCGCAGCCAUUGCGAGCGGUGAGAGAGAGAGCGCCCCGACCACCGACGCGUACGGACGUGUUGAGAAAUCCUCCGCGGCUCUAUACCACGCCAUUGAUUAAUCUAGAACUUUCGAUUAUCCGCCAUUUUGUAUCAAGUAGUUUUGUGUUAAUUUUUGUCUCGUGUUCGGAACAUUAUGUAAAAUUAGUAAUAAAAGUGAUUGACUGUAAA